UGGGGAAUAUUGCACAAUGGAGGGAACUCUGACGCAGCGACGCUGCGUGAACGAAGUAGGCUCUCGAGUCGUAAAGUUCUCUUAUAUGGGAAGAUAAUGACGGUACCAUAAGAAAAAGCCCCGGCUAACUACGUGCCAGCAGCCGCGGUAAUACGUAGGGGGCUAGCGUUGUCCGGAAUCACUGGGCGUAAAGGGUUCGCAGGCGGAAAUGCAAGUCAGGUGUAAAAGGCAGUAGCUUAACUACUGUAAGCAUUUGAAACUGCAUAUCUUGAGAAGAGUAGAGGUAAGUGGAAUUUUUAGUGUAGCGGUGAAAUGCGUAGAUAUUAAAAAGAAUACCGGUGGCGAAGGCGACUUACUGGGCUCAUUCUGACGCUGAGGAACGAAAGCGUGGGUAGCAAACAGG
rnacentral:rRNA from 1 species